rnacentral:rRNA from 1 species
UACGUAGGGGGCAAGCGUUGUCCGGAUUUAUUGGGCGUAAAGAGCGUGUAGGCGGUUUGGUAGGUCCGCUGUGAAAACUCGAGGCUCAACCUCGAGACGCCGGUGGAAACCAUCAGACUAGAGUCCGGAAGAGGAGAGUGGAAUUCCUGGUGUAGCGGUGAAAUGCGCAGAUAUCAGGAAGAACACCGGUGGCGAAGGCGGCUCUCUGGGCCUUACCUGACGCUGAGGAGCGAAAGCGUGGGUAGCGAACAGG